UUGGAGCUGCCUUACAAAUGGUUCUUGUGUUAAGGUGCAUCUAGUGCAGUUAGUGAAGUAGCGUAGAAUCUACUGCCCUAAAUGCUCCUUCUGGCACAAGCUGCUGCCUGCACGUCCAAAAAGAA
rnacentral:precursor_RNA from 10 species